UUGAUUAUGUCCCUGCCCUUUGUACACACCGCCCAUCGCUACUACCAAUUGGAUGGUUUAGUGAGGCUCUCAGAUACACCCCACCAGGGUUGGCACACAGCCCUGGCAGACUGCUGAGAAGAUGGUUGAACUUGACUACCUAGAGGAAGUAAAAGUCAUAACAAGCUUUCUGUAGGUGAACCUGCGGAAGGAU
rnacentral:rRNA from 1 species